rfam:Triticum urartu cultivar G1812 contig806140, whole genome shotgun sequence.
CUAGUACUCCCUCCGUUCCAAAUUACUCGUCGCAGAAAUGGAUGUAUCUAGAACUAAAAUACAUCUAGAUACAUCCAUACCCGCGAUAAAUAAUUCGGAACGGAGGGAGUAAUUU